AUGGUGUAGUAGUGUGAGGAGGAGAUGACACUGCUGUGUGCACUGUGCUGUGUUUAUUACAAUUAGUAUAUGACUUCUCAAAUUAUGACACUGAUGGUCCUGGUGUAGUGCCCUGGAGAAGUAAAUUCCCUGAAAUGUAUAACUUGCAACAACGCCAAUUGUGAUAAUUGUAGAGAGGUAACUUGCCCUGAUACCUCAGGAGGAGCUGCAUGCGAAUCUGUUUCCUACGAGACAAGUGAUGGUAAACGUGUAAUAAAAGGUUGUUCUUCCUCAAUGGAUUCGUGUCAAAUGCAACCUCCUAAUGUACCCCAGGAUGCUUAUAUAAACUGCUGUCAAACAGAUCUCUGCAACUCCGCCAUUACCACUAAGAUGUCCCUGCUCCUUGCCGGCUUCUUGAUCCUGAUGUCUCUGUGUGUCUCCAGGUUUUGAUCGGGUCCUUGACGCUCUGCUGAGACCAACGACAUGGCUUGACCAGCGUAUACUAUGCACGGCAUCUCGCUUACCGAGGGCACAUAUAUCAGCCAUUUAUAUUUGUAUUAUGGACGCCUUUGCUUAUGCAAUAAAGAAACUUCUAUUUGA